AACAAAAAAAUCUACUUGAAAUCAAUAGUCUCUUUUAUUUGUAUUCAUACAUUUUUUUGUGUGAAAAGGCAUGACAGUAGUUUGCUUAUCAUUUAGAAUAUAAUGGUACAUUUCAGACAAACUCCUGACCAGCUAUUGCAUUAGCUAGCUGGCCUCUGACAUUCAUCCUAGCUUCACUAUCAACUGGCUAGCUUUAUCAGGCAGCUUUAGAUGCAAGGAAAACAAAUAUAUUUGCUAGUUAGUUAACCAUCUGAUUGAUAUACAUGCCAUUGAAAAUGCUGGGAAAAGCUAGCUAACUACCACCAUCAUCACUAAAGUGUAGCUAAUGUUAGCUAGGUUUCUAGAAAAUAAGACUUGUAACUGACUUUUGAACACUUGUCUAACUACUUCAUUCCACUGCCUGUUUAUUGAUUAAUUGGUGACUGAAAAAGUUGUCUAGAAAAAUGCCCCUCUCAAUUUCACUGCAAAACUAUUAGCUAGAUAAAAGUAAACUGGUAAACUUGAUCAAGCUUAUGAAUAUGUAAAACUGUUUACAAAAAUGAUGACACAUUAAAGGUAGUUGGUGUUCUCAGUAACUUGAACCAGCACUGAAAUUUGAGCAGUGAGGUUCAUUUAUUCCCACGUUCUGCUCUUUUCAUCAGGUUGAAGCACAUCCCUAACACCAUACAGAUCUAAAGAACUUGGGAACCUCCCAGCCAUCAGGAAAAUAAUCUUGUUCUUGGAGUUUAUUCACAAGGUUUGUCAUAUGAUUUCCACGAGCCUGGUGAAGAUGUAUACAAUCAUAAUACAAGGCAGGACAUUUCCCUGCAUCCAGUUUGAGGCCUGCUACCAGCAGGAACAUGGAGCACUCCAUGUCAGUAAAUCAUGCAUAUUGUUUAUAUACUGUAUAUAUAGCUAAUACUCCACUCAUAUGCAGAGUGAGAAGCCCUACGCACCAUACACUUGUCUACUCCUGGAGUAACUCCCUGUCCGAGAGAUUGAUUAGAGGGUUUUGGGCCAAUGGGAGGUCAGGGGUGAGGUCUUAGGAGUGAGAGUGAAGUUACAGACAUGAAGAUACAACUUGAAACCCCCCGCCCCUUUCACUCAUCCAUUUGACUGAUUGGAAGGCACCCUUAUAGUCCUCAAAAAUCAACAUAUACAUGUUAACUCUCUUGCAAGAGCAUUCCGUACCUCUAUCCAUCUCUCUACAGGUGCUAGAGACAGAAUAUUCCAAGGACCUCCAGAGCCUUCAGAUCAACUACCUGUGAUCUCUCCAGAGAAGUGAGUCUGCCGGGGCAUGGAACUCUAGAGCAGAACAUCAAGAACCCUGCCACCAUGUUGUCAGCUAUAAACAGUUCCCUGAGGAAGGAGGCAACUACCAAGGCUUCACAUUUGGGGGAUGACCACCAAAUGCAAUAAAGUGUUGUAUAAACUA